UAAUAGCGUAUAUUAAAAUUGUUGCAGUUAAAACGCUCGUAGUUGAAUAUCUGUCUACUAACGACUUGGUCCGCAUUGCGAGCACCAAGCGUUGGCGGCAUCCGUUUGCACGUUUAAUUUUAAUUAAGCUUGCAAACCGUUCACUUUGAGGAAAUUAGAGUGUUCAAAGCAGGCAUACGCCUUGAAUACUUCAGCAUGGAAUGAUCGAUAGGACUACCGUCCUAUCCGUUGGUUCUAGGGGCGCGAAGUAAUGAUAAACAGGGUCGGUUGGGGGCAUUCGUAUUGAACAGUCAGAGGUGAAAUUCUUAGAUUUGUUCAAGACGAACAACUGCGAAAGCAUUUGCCAAGGACGAUCCCAUUAA
rnacentral:rRNA from 1 species